rnacentral:rRNA from 1 species
CAGUCGAGCGGAUGAGAGGAGCUUGCUCCUCGAUUCAGCGGCGGACGGGUGAGUAAUGCCUAGGAAUCUGCCUAGUAGUGGGGGACAACGUUUCGAAAGGAACGCUAAUACCGCAUACGUCCUACGGGAGAAAGUGGGGGAUCUUCGGACCUCACGCUAUUAGAUGAGCCUAGGUCGGAUUAGCUAGUUGGUAGGGUAAAGGCCUACCAAGGCGACGAUCCGUAACUGGUCUGAGAGGAUGAUCAGUCACACUGGAACUGAGACACGGUCCAGACUCCUACGGGAGGCAGCAGUGGGGAAUAUUGGACAAUGGGCGAAAGCCUGAUCCAGCCAUGCCGCGUGUGUGAAGAAGGCCCUCGGGUCGUAAAGCACUUUAAGUUGGGAGGAAGGGCUUACAGCGAAUACCUGUGAGUUUUGACGUUACCGACAGAAUAAGCACCGGCUAACUUCGUGCCAGCAGCCGCGGUAAU